rnacentral:rRNA from 1 species
AGCAUUCUCUGGUGUUGAAGGCCCUGCAAAGCAGCAUCGCGGUGGCGGAGCGUCGUUUGCGACGCCCAACACACAAAACAAGCGGUGAGUGCUUUGGGGUGGGGUGACUGCGUACCUUUUGUAUAAUGGGUCAGCGACUUAUAUUCUGUAGCAAGGUUAACCGUAUAGGGGAGCCGAAGGGAAACCGAGUCUUAACUGGGCGUUAAGUUGCAGGGUAUAGACCCGAAACCCGGUGAUCUAGCCAUGGGCAGGUUGAAGGUUGGGUAACACUAACUGGAGGACCGAACCGACUAAUGUUGAAAAAUUAGCGGAUGACUUGUGGCUGGGGGUGAAAGGCCAAUCAAACCGGGAGAUAGCUGGUUCUCCCCGAAAGCUAUUUAGGUAGCGCCUCGUGAACUCAUCUUCGGGGGUAGAGCACUGUUUCGGCUAGGGGGUCAUCCCGACUUACCAACCCGAUGCAAACUGCGAAUACCGAAGAAUGUUAUCACGGGAGACACACGGCGGGUGCUAACGUCCGUCGUGAAGAGGGAAACAACCCAGACCGCCAGCUAAGGUCCCAAAGUCACAGUUAAGUGGGAAACGAUGUGGGAAGGCUCAGACAGCCAGGAUGUUGGCUUAGAAGCAGCCAUCAUUUAAAGAAAGCGUAAUAGCUCACUGGUCGAGUCGGCCUGCGCGGAAGAUGUAACGGGGCUAAACUGUGCACCGAAGCUGCGGCAGCGACGCUUAUGCGUUGUUGGGUAGGGGAGCGUUCUGUAAGCCUGCGAAGGUGUCCUGUGAGGGAUGCUGGAGGUAUCAGAAGUGCGAAUGCUGACAUAAGUAACGAUAA